UGGCGGACCUGGUGGUGAGAAAUGCCAAGAUAUACACGAGCGACGAGUCUCUCCCUUUCGCCGAUUCCAUGGCUGUUCGCAACGGAAGGGUUCUUCGUCUUGGCAACUACUCCUCCGUCCAGGUCGCAGGAUUUUUUUGCACUUCGAAGCUGUUGAUUCUGCUUUCUGCGCGUGGGUGAAUGGCAUUCCGAUAGGAUAUGGUCAGGACGGCAGACUUCCUGCUGAAUUUGAAAUCACCGACUACAUUUACCCAUCCAGUACGGACAAGAAAAAUGUAUUAGCUGUUCAAGUUUUCAGAUGGAGUGAUGGCUCUUACCUUGAAGAUCAAGAUCAUUGGUGGUUACCUUGAAGGUAUUCCUUGCAGACUAUUUUUUUCAAAUCAACUCUGGCCGAGGACUUUUCUUAUGCAGACAUACAGG